CCCCAAUGGAGAAACGUCUACUCUCCAACAUCUACAUAGUAAUUAUAUAUGCUCUUCUCUGGUUCACCCGAUGCAAGAGCUUUGUUGAGUUAUCAUCAUCCUCUGCCAAUCCAAACGAUACGGGCACUGGCUGUAUUCCCGGUGAGAGGUCCGCGCUUGUUGGCUUCAAAGCAGGCCUCUUGGACCCUGAAAACCUCCUUUCAUCGUGGAAAGCUGAAGAUUGCUGCAGAUGGAAGGGUGUCCACUGCAGCAGCAGAAACGGCCAUGUUGUCAAGCUCGAUCUCCCAGGUCGUGGUUGUGACCCCAACCUCUAUGUGCGGACGCAAGUGCUAGGAGGCACCAUUAGCUCCUCACUACUUGGUCUACAACGUCUACAUUAUCUCAACCUCAGCUGCAAUGGAUUCUAUGGCAUGCAAAUACCUGAGUUCAUGGGUUCUCUCCACAAGUUGAGGUAUCUCGAUCUAUCGGGGCUAACCUUCACUGGAAGGAUACCACCACAGCUGGGUAAUCUCUCCAACUUACAAUACUUAAAUCUCGCUUCUUACACAUACUCCAAUGAUAUCACCUGGUUGUUACAACUAACUUCCCUUGAGCACCUGGACCUGAGCUACGUGAACCUCAGCACAAUCGUCCACUGGCUUCCGGUGGUGAACAUGCUUCCAUCUCUGAAAUUUCUUGGUCUUAGUAGUUGCGAUCUUAGAACUAACCUUGGUUCACUUCAGAUUUCAAAUCUGACUUCUCUUGAAACACUUGACCUUUCUGGCAAUAGCUUCCAUAGACGUAUCACACCUAACUGGUUUUGGGGUUUGACUAGCCUUAAGUACCUAGAUAUCUCAGGGAAUGGUUUCUUUGGACAAUUUCCGGAGGACGUAGGUAAUAUGACCUCCAUAGUAAAGCUUGUUCUAUCACGGAACAACCUUCUAGGCAUGAUACCAUCGAACCUGAAGAACCUAUGUCGCUUGGAAGUAUUCGAUGUACAGGAAAACAACAUCAAUGGAGACAUAACAGAAUUCUUCCUCCGCUUGCCUAGUUGUUCAUUGAAUAAGUUGACUCACUUGUAUCUACCUUCCAGCAAUUUGACAGGAAGACUACCAACCAAACUAGAACCGUUAAGCAAUCUGAUCAGCCUUGAUCUCAGUCAUAACAAGCUCACUGGUCCUAUGCCACUGUGGAUAGGAGAGCUGGCAAAGCUAACCGAACUAGACCUGAGCUACAAUAACCUAGAUGGUUUCGUACAUGAAGGUCAUUUCUCAGGCCUAGAAAGUUUGGAGAGUUUGUGGUUGUCUAAUAAUUCUAUAAUGUUCGCAGUGAAUUCGACAUGGGUUCCUCCUUCAAAUCUAACGAAUAUCGAACUUCGGUCAUGCUUUCUCGGGCCUAAAUUCCCAUCAUGGCUUAGAUGGCUAACACGUCUAGACAAUCUUGAUAUCUCAAACACAAGCAUAUCUGACAUGAUGCCGGAUUGGUUUUGGAUAACGGCUUCCACUGUUAAAGCUCUAAAUAUGCAACAUAACAAAAUUAGCGGUUAUUUACCUUUUACAAUGAAUUUUACAAGAGUAGUUGCAAUUGAUCUUAGUUCUAAUCUUUUCAGUGGCCAAAUACCUAAGCUUCCCAUUCAUUUGACUGAGUUGUAUCUUAGUAGAAAUAAUUUAGAUGGGCCACUACCAUUAGACUUUGGAGCACCGAAAUUAAGAACACUUAUUCUAUUUGACAACUCCAUCCCUGGCGCCAUACCCUCUUCCUUGUGCACAAUGCAAUUACUACUUCUGUUGGAUAUCUCCAAAAAUAAGCUAACUGGACCAUUUCCUGACUGUUCUGCUAAUAGAUCCACAAUAAAUGGCACAGGUAUUCGUAAUCUAAGCCUCAGAAACAACCACCUCUCGGGUGAAUUUCCUUCAUUUCUCGAACACUGCCCACAACUUGUCUUUCUUGAUCUUGCACACAACCAUUUUUUUGGAACUUUGCCAACAUGGAUUCCUGAGAAAUUGCCAUAUUUGGCUUUCUUACGGCUGCGGUCGAAUAUGUUUUAUGGUCACAUUCCAGAGGAGCUAACAGAGCUAGUUAAUCUUCAGUAUUUGGACCUUGCCUACAAUAAUAUAACGGGGAUCAUACCAAAAUCUAUUGUUAACUUCAAAGGGAUGACUGCUGCGAGUGAUCAUUUUGACGAUGAUUAUACAUUUCAAGCUGCUUUCAACUUCGGUCAUGGAUGGACAGAUGGCUACACAUACCAAGAAUUGUCAAUUCAUUAUAAUGACUUGGUCACCUAUACAGAGAAUUUUACUGUAGUCACAAAGGAUCAAGAGAGAUUAUAUACAGGAGAGAUCAUAUAUAUGGUGAAUCUUGAUUUAUCAUGUAAUAAUCUUAUUGGAGAUAUUCCCGAAGAAAUUAGCACUCUUGUCGAACUGAAGAACCUGAACUUAUCGUGGAACACCUUCAGCGGAAAAAUUCCUGCGAAUAUUGGCGCCUUGGCGCAAGUGGAGUCACUCGACCUAUCACACAAUGAGUUGUCCGGUGGAAUCCCUGCCAGCUUAUCAACUCUCACAUCAUUAAGUCGCUUGAACAUGUCCUAUAAUAACCUGACCGGAGAGGUACCAUCUGGAGAUCAACUGCAAACACUUGAAGAUCCAGAAUAUAUUUAUAUUGGCAACCCAGGCCUCUGCGGUCCUCCUCUCUCACAGAAAUGUUCACAACCCGAGUCAAUUCCAGCUACUCCAGAACACCAUGAUGAUUUAAACGAUGUGGCAUCAUUUUUCAUCGCUAUGGGUUCUGGAUAUGUUAUGGGUCUCUGGGUAGUCUUCUGUACCUUCUUAUGCAAGAGGAAAUGGAGAGUUAAGUGGUACCACGUCUGCGACGGUUUGUAUGACCGGGUCUAUGUGCAAGUGGCAGUUACAUGGACUUCUUGGACAAGGAAAAAAUGCGCAGAAGCUGAGAGCGAUCACUAGCUCACGCUGGUUUUCCUUUUGCUAUCACGUAGAGUGUGGGGAUUUUACCAUGUAUCAAUGUAUUUAUAGUAUCGUACUAUACUACUAUUGUUUCAUAAAUAUGUAUUUGAGGAUUAUGCCUUAGAAUAAGGUUUGGGUAUGUAAAGCUGAUGUGUAAUGAAUAAUGCCAGGGGCAGCACUUGAUCCCCUGUUCCGGGUGUGGGACGGAGGGAGUAUAUAUAUAUGUCUUUGCCGUAUCUCUGAAUCCAACCCAUAUCUCUGGUGUCUGUUCAGAUAGGAGUAGAACUAGGAUUUCUGAGAGACAGAAUUUAGUAUGUGAAAGAGUGUCAACCCCAAGGUAAAUUAUUUCACUCGAUGCGC
rnacentral:rRNA from 1 species